GUGUCAGCAGCCGCGGUAAUACGUAGGGUGCAAGCGUUAAUCGGAAUUACUGGGCGUAAAGCGUGCGCAGGCGGUUAUAUAAGACAGAUGUGAAAUCCCCGAGCUUAACUUGGGAACUGCAUUUGUGACUGUAUAGCUAGAGUACGGCAGAGGGGGAUGGAAUUCCGCGUGUAGCAGUGAAAUGCGUAGAUAUGCGGAGGAACACCGAUGGCGAAGGCAAUCCCCUGGGCCUGUACUGACGCUCAUGCACGAAAGCGUGGGGAGCAAACAGGAUUAGAAACCCUAGUAGUCC
rnacentral:rRNA from 1 species